rnacentral:rRNA from 1 species
AUACCGGAUGGCAUAAUUAUUCCGCAUGGGAUAAUUAUUAAAGAAUUUCGGUUGUCGAUGGGGAUGCGUUCCAUUAGGCAGUUGGCGGGGUAACGGCCCACCAAACCUACGAUGGAUAGGGGUUCUGAGAGGAAGGUCCCCCACAUUGGAACUGAGACACGGUCCAAACUCCUACGGGAGGCAGCAGUGAGGAAUAUUGGUCAAUGGACGAGAGUCUGAACCAGCCAAGUAGCGUGAAGGAUGACUGCCCUAUGGGUUGUAAACUUCUUUUAUACGGGAAUAAAGUGAGCCACGUGUGGCUUUUUGUAUGUACCGUAUGAAUAAGGAUCGGCCAACUCCGUGCCAGCAGCCGCGGUAAUACGGAGGAUCCGAGCGUUAUCCGGAUUUAUUGGGUUUAAAGGGAGCGUAGGCGGGUUGUUAAGUCAGUUGUGAAAGUUUGCGGCUCAACCGUAAAAUUGCAGUUGAUACUGGCGACCUUGAGUGCAACAGAGGUAGGCGGAAUUCGUGGUGUAGCGGUGAAAUGCUUA